rnacentral:rRNA from 1 species
UCGUGUAACCUGCGAGGAUCAUUA